UACGAAGGGUGCAAGCGUUACUCGGAAUUACUGGGCGUAAAGCGUGCGUAGGUGGUUUGUUAAGUCUGUUGUGAAAGCCCCGGGCUCAACCUGGGAAUGGCAAUGGAUACUGGCAGGCUAGAGUGCGGUAGAGGGUAGUGGAAUUCCCGGUGUAGCGGUGAAAUGCGUAGAGAUCGGGAGGAACACCAGUGGCGAAGGCGGCUACCUGGACCAGCACUGACACUGAGGCACGAAAGCGUGGGGAUCAAACAGG
rnacentral:rRNA from 1 species